AAGCUUAACACAUGCAAGUCGAACGGACCGUAUACGCAGCUUGCUGCGUGUAUGGUUAGUGGCAGACGGGUGAGUAAUGCAUAGGAAUCUACCUAGUAGUAUGGGAUAGCCACUAGAAAUGGUGGGUAAUACUGUAUAAUCCCUGCGGGGGAAAGAUUUAUCGCUAUUAGAUGAGCCUAUGUCAGAUUAGCUAGUUGGUGGGGUAAUGGCCUACCAAGGCGGUGAUCUGUAGCUGGUCUGAGAGGAUGAUCAGCCACACUGGAACUGAGACACGGUCCAGACUCCUACGGGAGGCAGCAGUGGGGAAUAUUGGACAAUGGGCGCAAGCCUGAUCCAGCUAUGCCGCGUGAGUGAGGAAGGCCUUAGGGUUGUAAAACU
rnacentral:rRNA from 1 species